AGGAAUCAGGCAUGAACUCAGUGAA
rnacentral:piRNA from 1 species